AACGAACGCUGGCGGCAGGCCUAACACAUGCAAGUCGAACGCCCUUACGGGGGAGCGGCGGACGGGCGAGUAACGCGUGGGAAUAUGCCCUUGUCUACGGCAUAGCCUCGGGAAACUGAGAGUAAUACCGUAUACGCCCUGCGGGGGAAAGAUUUAUCGGGGAAGGAUUAGCCCGCGUUGGAUUAGGUCGUUGGUGGGGUAAUGGCCUACCAAGCCGACGAUCCAUAGCUGGUUUGAGAGGAUGAUCAGCCACACUGGGACUGAGACACGGCCCAGACUCCUACGGGAGGCAGCAGUGGGGAAUCUUAGACAAUGGGGGCAACCCUGAUCUAGCCAUGCCGCGUGAGUGAUGAAGGCCUUAGGGUUGUAAAGCUCUUUCAGCUGGGAAGAUAAUGACGGUACCAGCAGAAGAAGCCCCGGCUAACUCCGUG
rnacentral:rRNA from 1 species